UAAAUAGCCAGGCCCGCUUUGGCGGGUCGCCGGCUUCUUAGAGGGACUAUCCGCUCAAGCGGAUGGAAGUUUGAGGCAAUAACAGGUCUAUGAUUCCCUUAGAUGUUCUUGGCCGCACACGCACUACACU
rnacentral:rRNA from 1 species